AGUUGGGUGGGGUUGGAAAGUUUCGGCGGUUGGGGAUGGACUCGCGGCUUAUCAGCUUGUUGGUGGGGUAGUGGCUUACCAAGGCUUUGACGGGUAGCCGGCCUGAGAGGGUGACCGGCCACAUUGGGACUGAGAUACGGCCCAGACUCCUACGGGAGGCAGCAGUGGGGAAUAUUGCACAAUGGGCGGAAGCCUGAUGCAGCAACGCCGCGUGCGGGAUGACGGCCUUCGGGUUGUAAACCGCUUUCGCCUGUGACGAAGCGUGAGUGACGGUAAUGGGUAAAGAAGCACCGGCUAACUACGUG
rnacentral:rRNA from 1 species